rnacentral:lncRNA from 1 species
CAGAAGGGUAAUCAAUGAACAAAAGGCAAAUAAAUAAGAAACAUUGAUCCCGAAAAAUCAGGGACUACGUCUGAGGGAGAACAGAACUUGCUUCUUGCAAGGUACUAGCCGUGAACAUAAUUUGAUAUGGCGACAAGCGUUUGGUUUUGAAAUUUCCUACAUUAGGAAUUUGUCUCAAUGUUAAGUUACGGCCCUGUAAUAAAAGUGAGAUAUUAAAGUGUUACUGAGAAAA